CAUAAUCUCUAUGGAGAAAAGCAGGGGAUCGCAAGACCUUGCGCUUUUGGAGCGGCCGAUGUCUGAUUAGCUAGUUGGUGAGGUAAAGGCUUACCAAGGCUUCGAUCAGUAGCUGGUCUGAGAGGACGACCAGCCACACUGGGACUGAGACACGGCCCAGACUCCUACGGGAGGCAGCAGUGGGGAAUUUUGGACAAUGGGGGCAACCCUGAUCCAGCCAUGCCGCGUGAGUGAAGAAGGCCUUCGGGUUGUAAAGCUCUUUCAGCCGGAACGAAAAGGUUACGGUUAAUACCCGUAACUAAUGACGGUACCGGAAGAAGAAG
rnacentral:rRNA from 1 species